AUCGCUUCUCGGCCUUUUGGCUAAGAUCAAGUGUAGUAACAAAGCACAAAACAUAAGAGGACUGAUAAAUUUAAAUAUAUAGAAAAUAGGACCUGAU
rnacentral:snRNA from 2 species